CCUACGGGAGGCAGCAGUGGGGAAUAUUGCACAAUGGGCGAAAGCCUGAUGCAGCAACGCCGCGUGAGUGAAGAAGGAUUUCGGUAUGUAAAGCUCUUUCAGCAGGGAAGAGAAUGACGGUACGUGACUAAGAAUCACCGGCUAACUACGUGACAGAAGCCGCGGUAAUACGCCGGGGGCGAGCGUUAUACGGUGUUACUGGGUGGAAAGGGAGCGUAGACGGUUCUGCAAGUCUGAAGUGAAAGCCCGUGGUUUAACCGCGGAACGGCUGUGGAAACUGUGGAACUAGAGUGCUGGAGAGGAAGGCGGAAUGUCUGGUGUAGCGGUGAAAUGCGUAGAUAUUAGGAGGAACACCAGUAGCGAAGGCGGCUUGCUGGGCAGUAACUGACGUUGAGGCUCGAAAGCGUGGGGAGCAAACAGGAUUAGAUACCCCAGUAGUC
rnacentral:rRNA from 1 species